AAAAACAUAGCCUUUAGCAUAAAGUAUUAAAGGUAACGCCUGCCCAGUGAUAAAUUAAACGGCCGCGGGAUCCUCCACCGUGCAAAGGUAGCAUAAUCACUUGUCCCCUAAAUAGUGACUAGUAUGAAUGGCCAAAUGAAGAUUUUACUGUCUCUUAUAGCCGAUCUAUGAAACUAAACUAUCAGUACAAAAGCUGAUAUAUUAACAUAAGACGAAAAGACCCUGUGGAACUUCAAGCACAACCCACCAUAAUGGCCCACCUGCUUUUAGUUGGGGCAACUUUGGAAAAAAACAAAACUUCCAAUAAAAUUAAAGAUUAACACAUCUAUAUAGUUAUAUACCCGACCCAACACCUGUUGAUCAAAGAACCAAGCUACCCCAGGGAUAACAGCGCCAUCCCCUCUUAGAGCCCAAAUCGACGAGCGGGGUUUACGACCUCGAUGUUGGAUCAGGGCCCCCAAACAGUGCAACAGCUGUUAACGGUUUGUUUGUUCAACAAUUAAAGCCCUACGUGAUCUGAGUUAAGACCGGAGCAAUCCAGGUCGG
rnacentral:rRNA from 1 species